AUUAGCAGCCAUAUCACCCUGCAACUCACAACUGGCAACCCACUGAAGCUCAGCAGGUGUGAGCCUGGUUAGUACCUCGAUGGGAGACCUCCUGGAAAAAACUAAGGUUGCUGCUGGAA
rnacentral:rRNA from 1 species